rnacentral:rRNA from 1 species
UACGAAGGGUGCAAACGUUGCUCGGAAUUAUUGGGCGUAAAGCGCACGUAGGCGGCAUUGCAAAGUCGGAUGUGAAAUCCCUCGGCUUAACCAAGGAAGUGCAUCCGAAACUGCAGUGCUUGAGUACUAAAGAGGAUCGCGGAAUUCCCGGUGUAGAGGUAGAAAUUCGUAGAUAUCGGGAGGAACACCAGUGGCGAAGGCGGCGAUCUGGGUAGAUACUGACGCUGAGGUGCGAAAGCGUGGGGAGCAAACAGG